GGCUGUGUGGAGUAAUGGUUUGAAUAUUAGGCUAAGACUCUGAAAGACCAGUGUUCAAAUCUCUGCUCAGCCA